ACUCAAAUGAAUUGACGGGGGCCCGCACAAGCAGUGGAUUAUGUGGUUUAAUUCGAAGCAACGCGAAGAACCUUACCAGGGCUUGACAUCCUCUGAACUCUCUAGAGAUAGAGCUUCCCUUCGGGGCAGAGAGACAGGUGGUGCAUGGUUGUCGUCAGCUCGUGUCGUGAGAUGUUGGGUUAAGUCCCGCAACGAGCGCAACCCCUAUGGUCAGUUGCCAUCAUUUAGUUGGGAACUCUGGCCAGACUGCCGUGGACAACACGGAGGAAGGUGGGGACGACGUCAAAUCAUCAUGCCCCUUAUGUCCUGGGCUACACACGUAAUACAAUGGCAACGACAGAGGGCAGCGACUCCGCGAGGGGAAGCGAAUCCCAAAACGUUGUCUCAGUUCGGAUUGCAGGCUGCAACUCGCCUGCAUGAAGUCGGAAUUGCUAGUAAUGGCAGGUCAGCACACUGCCGUGAAUACGUUCCCGGGCCUUGUACACACCGCCCGU
rnacentral:rRNA from 1 species